rnacentral:rRNA from 1 species
UCAUUAUCAGUUACAGCGGAGGCGCCCUCGGGUGUCCUCCUGUCUGCAACCCUUGUCUUUUGCGUACUGUAUGUUUCCUCGGCGGGUUCGCCCGCCGAUAGGACAUUCAUAAACCCUUCGUAGUUGCAAUCAGCGUCAGAAAAAACUAUAAUAGUUACAACUUUCAACAACGGAUCUCUUGGUUCUGGCAUCGAUGAAGAACGCAGCGAAAUGCGAAAAGUAGUGUGAAUUGCAGAAUUCAGUGAAUCAUCGAAUCUUUGAACGCACAUUGCGCCCCUUGGUAUUCCAUGGGGCAUGCCUGUUCGAGCGUCAUUUGUACCUUCAAGCUCUGCUUGGUGUUGGGUGUUUGUCCCGCCGUUGCGCGUGGACUCGCCUCAAAGCAAUUGGCAGCCGGCAUAAGCCUGGGAGCGCCGAACAAUUGUUGCUUCCAUUCUUGAAUGUCGAGCGUCCAGCAAGCCUUUUAUUCUUGCGUUUGACCUCGGAUCAGGUAGGGAUACCCGCUGAACUUAAGCAUAUCAAUAAGCGGAGGA